rnacentral:rRNA from 1 species
AGUGAACGCUGGCGGUAGGCCUAACACAUGCAAGUCGAACGGCAGCACAGUAAGAGCUUGCUCUUACGGGUGGCGAGUGGCGGACGGGUGAGGAAUACAUCGGAAUCUACUUUUUCGUGGGGGAUAACGUAGGGAAACUUACGCUAAUACCGCAUACGACCUACGGGUGAAAGCAGGGGAUCUUCGGACCUUGCGCGAUUGAAUGAGCCGAUGUCGGAUUAGCUAGUAGGCGGGGUAAAGGCCCACCAAGGCGGCGAUCCGUAGCUGGUCUGAGAGGAUGAUCAGCCACACUGGAACUGAGACACGGUCCAGACUCCUACGGGAGGCAGCAGUGGGGAAUAUUGGACAAUGGGCGCAAGCCUGAUCCAGCCAUACCGCGUGGGUGAAGAAGGCCUUCGGGUUGUAAAGCCCUUUUGUUGGGAAAGAAAAGCAGCAGGUUAAUACCCCGCUGUUCUGACGGUACCCAAAGAAUAAGCACCGGCUAACUUCGUG